GACGAACGCUGGCGGCGUGCUUAACACAUGCAAGUCGAACGGAAAGGCCCUGCUUGCAGGGUGCUCGAGUGGCGAACGGGUGAGUAACACGUGGGUGAUCUGCCCCUUACUUUGGGAUAAGCCUGGGAAACUGGGUCUAAUACUGGAUAGGACCAUGCUGUAGGUGGUGUGGUGGAAAGAUUAGUUUCGGUAAGGGAUGAGCUUGCGGCCUAUCAGCUUGUUGGUGGGGUAAUGGCCUACCAAGGCGUCGACGGGUAGCCGGCCUGAGAGGGGGGACGGCCACAUUGGGACUGAGAUACGGCCCAGACUCCUACGGGAGGCAGCAGUGGGGAAUAUUGCACAAUGGGCGCAAGCCUGAUGCAGCGACGCCGCGUGGGGGAUGACGGCCUUCGGGUUGUAAACUCCUUUCAGCCAUGACGAAGCCCUUGUGGUGACGGUAGUGGUAGAAGAAGCACCGGCUAACUACGUG
rnacentral:rRNA from 1 species